rnacentral:rRNA from 1 species
CCUACGGGUGGCAGCAGUGGGGAAUAUUGGACAAUGGGCGAAAGCCUGAUCCAGCCAUGCCGCGUGUGUGAAGAAGGCCUUCGGGUUGUAAAGCACUUUCAGUGGGGAAGAAAGCCUUGGGGCUAAUACCCUCGAGGAAGGACAUCACCCACAGAAGAAGCACCGGCUAACUCCGUGCCAGCAGCCGCGGUAAUACGGAGGGUGCGAGCGUUAAUCGGAAUUACUGGGCGUAAAGCGCGCGUAGGCGGUCUGAUAAGCCGGUUGUGAAAGCCCCGGGCUCAACCUGGGAACGGCAUCCGGAACUGUCAGGCUAGAGUGCAGGAGAGGAAGGUAGAAUUCCCGGUGUAGCGGUGAAAUGCGUAGAGAUCGGGAGGAAUACCAGUGGCGAAGGCGGCCUUCUGGACUGACACUGACGCUGAGGUGCGAAAGCGUGGGUAGCAAACAGGAUUAAUACCCUUGUAGUC